UACGAGGGGGGCGAGCGUUGUUCGGAAUUAUUGGGCGUAAAGAGCUCGUAGGCGGUUUGUCACGUCUGCUGUGAAAACUGGAGGCUCAACCUCCAGCCUGCAGUGGGUACGGGCAGACUAGAGUGCGGUAGGGGAGAUUGGAAUUCCUGGUGUAGCGGUGGAAUGCGCAGAUAUCAGGAGGAACACCGAUGGCGAAGGCAGAUCUCUGGGCCGUAACUGACGCUGAGGAGCGAAAGCAUGGGGAGCGAACAGG
rnacentral:rRNA from 1 species